UCCCCUUCGCUCCUCCCCGCUCACGGAGCGCGGCCCCCGGUGCCCCGCUGAGCCGAGUGGAGCCGCGCGGAGCGGAACGGAGCAUGGAGGGCCUCUCCCGGGGGGGGCACCGCUGCCCGCCCCUACCCCUGGCGAUGGGGCUGUGCUGCUGCCUCCUGCUGCCGCCCGCUGCCGGCUCCUGGAGCGUGCAGCCCCGCAGCAAUUGGUGCUCCUACAUGGUGACAAGGACGGUGACGUGCCUGGUGCAGAACGGCACCUCCCUGCAGCGUGUCUUCCAGGGCUGCCGCUGGCCACCGGGCUGCGGUGGGGGCAGCAGCUACCGCACCGUCGUCCGGCCCGCGUACCGGGUGGCCUACAGGACACUGACGGCGCUGGAGUGGAAGUGCUGCCCUGGGCACAGCGGGGCCAACUGCGAGGAAGACCCCCACACCUUCCUCGCUCUGCGUGAUGCUGCACGCCCCAGCACCGCCCCACGUCGCUCUCCCCUGCGCCCCACGGCUUUCUCAGGGUGCCUGAACUGCAGUCACGUCGGGGAGCUGUCAGCACGCCUGGCCACCCUCGAGGCACAGGUGGCCCGGCUCUCAGUGGCAGAAGCCCCCACGUCCCCAACACCCAAAGGUGACAGCUUGGGUAGGAGUCCUGACACUGGGCAGCUCUGGGGGUCCCCAGCCGCACAGGGGAGCCCAGGGGAUGAAGGCAGACCUGGUUCACGGGGACCCCCCGGCCCCUCUGGUCCCAAGGGUGAUGCAGGAGGACGGGGACCCUCAGGCAUUCCUGGAGUGAAGGGUCCAUUGGGACCCCCAGGUCCCCCAGGUCCUCCCGGUCCCCCUGGCCAUGACGGAGCCAGAGGUCUCCCUGGAGAAAAGGGAUUGCCCGGCCCCCCCGGUCCCCCUGGGCCUCCUGCUCCUGUGGGGCCAGCCGUACCCUGGCUGACUGAUCCGAGGGACCCGCUCCUCUCCAACACCUUCACUGAAGCAGCUGGGGGCAUUGUGGGGCCCGCUGGCCCCCCUGGACCCAUGGGGCCAAUGGGACCCCCUGGCCCCCCAGGACCCAUAGGUCUGCCCGGCCCCCCAGGGCCUGAUGGGAGAGCUGGGGCACCUGGAGCUGCCGGUCCCCGGGGAGACAAAGGCGACAGGGGCCCCAAGGGAGAGCCAGGCAGCCGUGGGCAGGAUGGAGCACAGGGCGAGCCGGGCCCCAAGGGCGAGCCGGGCGACAAGGGCACAUGGGGGGAGGGUUUACACCAGCUCCGCGAGGCUUUGAAGAUUUUAGCAGAGAGGGUUUUAAUCUUGGAAACAAUGAUUGGGCUCUAUGGCCAGUAGCUUCCAAGCCCUGCUGCGGCAGCAGGCCCGCCUGGAGGUCCUGGCUAGAAGGGUCACCCUCCUGGAAGCCAUCAUCUGGCCAGAACCAGAACCCGGCUCAGGCAGCGGCCCCGGGGGCCCACCAGCACCCAGCCCCCCCCGUGCCAAGCGUCGCCGCUCACCCCCCACCCACCAGGCUCUCCCUGGCCAGCCCUAAGAGUGCAGCCCCGCUGUGUCCCCGCUGUGUACAUGGAGGUCCUGGUGCUACCCGGUGCCAAUGCACCGGUCGGACCCCCCCAGCUUUUGGCCCUGCUGCUCUGCACCCCCGUGCUGGGGGGCACAGGGCCCCCACGGCCACCCCGGUGCUCGGGGGGCUGCAUCCCGUGUGCCGUCCUGGCACUGCCUGGGCAUUAAAGGUGUCCCCAGA